rnacentral:lncRNA from 1 species
GUAUUCUUGGCAAACUCCAAGCCUGCAUGUGAAAUGUGAGAUCUCAGCAGAAGCACAUUGUAGUUUAGCAACUUUGCAAGAGUGCUGUUUUUAUCACUGCCCUAGAAGAUACAGUAAUAAGCUGAAGCUCUUCUGUUCUGGAUGCUGCAACACAUACUUUGAUGCUGAUACUGUAAGAUGCUGUAAACAUAUCAAUCAAAUUGUCAGAAUGCAGAACAUCACAAAAUGCAAACUUUGAUUCACUUGGGAACAGGAGCAAUGUAACAAGAAGGAUGACUCUAUUAAGUGAAAUCUCUUGCAGUGAGAUUAAAAGGCAGAAGGCUUUCUAAAAUUAUAUUGAACGAGAUUGUCUUAGAGGAAAACGGCAUUGGAAUGAUAGAGUAUUGCCUGGAAAUACAGUAUAUGCUGUAAGUAUGUUAGAUUGUUGUCCAGUGCUGAGAAGUGGAAUUAGUCUAUUCCAGGGAAGGAUAAUAAAAGUAUUUUUAAGACAGAGUCA